UGGGGACUAGCUCAGUUGGUAGAAUGCUUGCCUCACACGCAUUAAGACCCUGGGUUCAAUCCCAGGGUCCACAC
rnacentral:tRNA from 1 species